rnacentral:rRNA from 1 species
AUUGAACGCUGGCGGCAUGCCUUACACAUGCAAGUCGAACGGCAGCAUGGAGAGCUUGCUCUCUGAUGGCGAGUGGCGAACGGGUGAGUAAAGCAUCGGAACGUACCGUGUAGUGGGGGAUAACGUAGCGAAAGUUACGCUAAUACCGCAUACGCACUGAGGUGGAAAGCAGGGGAUCGCAAGACCUUGCGCUAUACGAGCGGCACAUGUCAGAUUAGCUAGUUGGUAGGGUAAAGGCCUACCAAGGCGACGGUCGGUAGCGGGUCUGAGAGGAUGAUCCGCCACACUGGGACUGAGACACGGCCCAGACUCCUACGGGAGGCAGCAGUGGGGAAUUUUGGACAAUGGGGGCAACCCUGAUCCAGCCAUGCCGCGUGAGUGAAGAAGGCCUUCGGGUUGUAAAGCUCUUUCGGCCGGGAAGAAAUCGCACAGGCUAAUACUCUGUGUGGAUGACGGUACCGGCAUAAGAAGCACCGGCUAACUACGUGCCAGCCGCCGCCGUAA